AGAUGUCCUUUUCUUCGGAACAUUCAAGACAGGUGGUGCAUGGUUGUCGUCAGCUCGUGUCGUGAGAUGUUGGGUUAAGUCCCGCAACGAGCGCAACCCUUAUAUUUAGUUGCCAGCAUUUCGGAUGGGCACUCUAGAUAGACUGCCGGUGACAAACCGGAGGAAGGUGGGGAUGACGUCAAAUCAUCAUGCCCCUUAUGACCUGGGCUACACACGUACUACAAUGGCCGGUACAACGGGCUGCGAAAUCGCGAGAUGGAGCCAAUCCCAACAAAGCCGGUCUCAGUUCGGAUUGCAGGCUGCAACUCGCCUGCAUGAAGUCGGAAUUGCUAGUAAUCGCGGAUCAGCAUGCCGCGGUGAAUACGUUCCCGGGUCUUGUACACACCGCCCGUCACACCACGAGAGUUUAUAACACCCGAAGUCGGUGGGGUAACCGCAAGGAGCCAGCCGCCGAAGGUGGGAUAGAUGAUUGGGGUGAAGUCGUAACAAGGUAACCGU
rnacentral:rRNA from 1 species